AAUCUGUGGUGCUCAUCUGAGAUGUAUCUCAGUGCUUAUAUAUAGUGAUACUUGUUCGGAUCUGUAUAUAAAAGUCAAUUUCUCUGUACCUCAGUAUUCGAG